ensembl:lncRNA
AACAAUGAUUACAAAACAAGGUUUUUCGUAUUCAUCUGACGAAUGAGGAGUAGACGAGGGCCAAAUUGCAAAUUUGUGUUUUAUCUUGGUCACACUGUCCGGCAGUGCCAAACUGGUUCAGCAGUGUCUGGUUAGGAGGGAUGGUCAGAAAGGGUUGCAGUCUAGUGAUUCGCUGUGGUGGUUUUGGUCCGUAGCUGAUGGAGCUCACUCCUUCAUGUGCAUUGGGUCCAGGGUUGGGAAGUAGAGGUGCAGUAACGCCCCCUGCCUCAGCUCCUUCAUGUGCAUUGGAUCCAGGGUUGGGAAGUAGAGGUGCAGUAACGCCCCCUGCCUCAGCUCCUUCAUGUGCAUUGGAUCCAGGGUUGGGAAGUAGAGGUGCAGUAACGCCCCCUGCCUCAGCUCCUUCAUGUGCAUUGGGUCCAGGGUGGGGAAGUAGAGGUGCAGUAACGCCCCCUGCCUCAGCUCCUUCAUGUGCAUUGGAUCCAGGGUUGGGAAGUAGAG